rnacentral:lncRNA from 1 species
AGGAGGUGGAAGGGACUGGGGGGAAGCUGGGAGAGGGAGGGUUGAGACAUAAAAGAAACAAGGCUGCACCGGGCAAGGCAGCGAACAAAAAGGACAGAGCUGGGACGAGAGCCUGAUCGCAGCCUGCUGCUCGGAGACGUUCCCCACUCUGCCUUGCCCUGCAGCCAGAGCCUUGCAGGAGAAGGCUGGAAGGCCAGCACGCACCCUGCGCCGAGCAGUCCUUCAGCCCAGCCAAAAACACUGCCAGGGUGAAGGAGCCUUCAGCGCGAAAAGAACCAGGGCUUGUGGAAGGGAUGCUUGCUGCUAUUGUUUGCCUUGGGCAUCCGCAUCACUUACCGCUCCCUGGUCUCUCCCCCGUGCCAGCACCCUUGGCUGCCCUUCUCUCUGCCCAUGUCCCCCUGCCACCCGUCUUUUCUUCUCGGCAAGUUUCCUCGCCCACACGCACACGGACAGCACCGCUGUGCAGGGACACACACACGCACUGGGGUGUAUUUCCGAGGUUAGCCAUCUGGAUAUUUCCCCCUUCCCAGCACGGCCGGGCACCCAGCGGGAGGCAAAUCCUGCCUUGGCCUACCUUCCGAGUGCGCCAGGUCUGAACCGCGGGCAGCAGCCGUGCGUCGGGAGCAGGGGCUGUGAAUCAGCAGAGAGGUGCCAGUGCCAGGGAUGCAUGCUGAGGCUGAGCGCUGCGCCCGCCGCCUCGCCUCCUCCAGCGCCCCGCUGCUGUGUUGCUAUGCGAUCACAUCCCCGGGAGGAGCAGCAUCUCUGCCCGCAACAAGAGGUACCCCUGGCUCCGCACGCCGGGGGGGGAACAAGGACAACCCCGAGACCCUUGGAGCUCCCUUGGCGAUCGGCCCCAAGGAGAGGAGGGAGAGGAGUGGAGAUGCAAAGGCAGACACGAGCGCGGGAGGAGGAGACAAAACACACAUGGAGAGAGAAGAAAAGAAAAAUAAGUAAAGGAAGAGCCAGUUCUCCAAGCUGCAGAGAAAGCCUCAUCCAAGAUUUUUUAAAUGUCAGGGUAUUUUGUCUGAGACAGAAGGGUUUGGGCUGCUAACUUGGCUGAGGACAUGAGCAAACCUGGAAUUUGGAUUUUAGUCCAUACGUAACAAACAGUCUGUAAUUCUUUGGAUCUUCCCACCCAAAGAUCCUGAACUCUGCUCAAGAUGUCAGUGAUGCUAUGCCCACAUUACACGAGCAGAAACAAGAGAUCAGUAACUUGGUCAUUCAGACCUGACCCUAGUCCCACGCUGUAGCUGCCAGAGUGUCUCAGCCUCUCCCUGGGAACAUUUAAGCUCAGACAGCAAUAAGGUCUGGUCCUUGUCAGAACAAUCUCCAAGGAGCCUCAGCCUCUCUCCUCGCAGGGCUUUUGGUGGGCUGUGUACAGAUGAAGGUUGGUGAAGGAACGGCCACUGGCCUCAGCUGCCCACCUGUUGGGACAUCAAGGUUACCUGUCAGUCCAUCCGGGGGCCUGACUUUCUAACUAAUCCCACGACACUGUUGGAAGGUGGAUAUGAAUGGAUAUAAAGCUUUACCAGGUUACCAACUGCAAUCUGGAGAAGUCAAAAUACAGCUGAUCUACGGCAAAACGCAUUUGAGAGAGUCCUCAGGAAACCAGCACGAUCCUCACAGUGGUUCCAGUGGGAGUCUCUGGCACGGGGGUGGCCGACUCUGCAGAGCUCCCAUCCAGGUGAGCCCCGAGUCAGGCACACAGCGAGGCGAGGUGCACAGACACCUCAUGUAGCUGCACUGAGCAGAGGAGUAUUUUUAAGUAGCAUCUUUCCUGUAGCUGGUUCCAAAAGGAGCAACACGGCAUCCUUCAAGUACCAACCUGAGAAUGGGUACGUACUCCACACCUCCUGCUUUCAAAAGCCUUUUCAAUAGCUUCCACUUCCACAACAGCCACAGCGAUGCAACACAACUUGUUCUGAAAAGCUGUAUUUAGACCCAAAGAAAUAGACACGGAUAGGAAAGCGGAAUAGAACUGUCUCUCUACCGGGCUAUUUUUGUGCACACACACACAAAUAACUCCUGGGUUAACUAAGGAGCCCGAGGGGAAGGAGAGAGCAGAGCGCCUGAAGGGCUGCCCAGGCAGCCGGAGCACACUGCCCUGCAGAGCCGUGACCGACCCAAACCGCAGCGUGUGUCUGUCACCGACACGGUGAGGAACGUGACAGCUCGGAUAAACACAGCGAGCACGCAUCAGGCCGAGUUGCACAUGCACACGAGACAGGCGUCAGCACGGAGACACGAACAGACAGCUGGAGCCACGCAAAUAAGGUACUUUGCAGUACACGCAUCCUAAAUUAUUGAUAGUUUAGGGAUGGCAAAAUGCAGUGGGAGGAAAUCUCUUGUGUCAGUUUAACUUGAAUUUUGAGACAAAGCAGGAUCUCUGGUGAAAGACUUGCUUCUACGGCUGGGAGCAUCAUCCUAGGUCCCCCAAGUACCUUGUGCUUUAAGGACAUAAUUAGGACAAACAGCCCAGCAAUUCAGAACUCAAAGGGAAUCAAGGAGACAAACUCUGAUUUGCCAUAAGCCCAGCCUUUCAUAUCAGCACCACAACUGUAUGGAGUAUAUGGGAAAAAAUAUGAGAAGAAACGCUCAAUUUGAUGUGCUUUAAGUUCUGCAGAUAACCUCCAAAAAAAUCUCUCAGGGAACUCCAAGAACCCAGCUUCCAGAAGACACAUUGGUACCUACCACACGCCUUUCCCCAAGAGAAUAUGUCAGACAUUCACGUCCUACUAAAUGGCAAAGAUGUACCUUGCUAGCAAAAUUAGGAACCUCCACCUCUCUGAAGGGACGUGCACAAUCCUAAAUAAAACAUACAAACAUACAAUAGAUAAAACA